rnacentral:misc_RNA from 1 species
GUAACAUUCAACUGUCAAGGGUUUCCAGAACGGGCAAACGAGAGCGAUGUCCUGAUUAUUGAGCAUUCAAGAAAAGUUCAAAAUAAAAAUGUAUGGCACAUAAACCAGUUGGAGUUAUACGAAGAUUAAACCCCUUUUCUAGCAAACUAAAGAAAUAAAUACACCCGUUGCAGUAACCAGCUUGGUUUGUUCUUAUUAACUAAUGAUUCAAGCUUUUGUGUCAACAAACUCCAGUUGGACCAAUAAAAAGGAUUAUAUAGAAAUAACACACAGAGGAGAAUGAGUGAGCACAUUCAGUUUUGGAUCCGGACAUGGGUUUGAUCAGUACAAAUAGACCACUGAAGAUUCUACUUUGAUUGUGAUUCACCUGAUGCAAUUGCAGGUUCAUCUUUCUUUGAAGUCUCCAAUUUGCCAGAAGUAACACUCUCUAGCGUAUUAUAAAACUCCUCAGGAAGAGGACCAGGACGAUGAAGGGGAACGUGCUUGGGCACUGGAGCAUCAUUUUCUAUAACUUCACACUCAUAAUCAUCGGGAAUACCCCAAGGUUUCCACUCGUUCAUGUGGCCGAUGAGCUUAAGCUCAUCCUGAGCUUCCUCAAUUAACUCUUCAACCUGGCCACAACCAAGCCGCUUCUCGAUCAUUUCCGAAUCUGCUUCCUCCUGACAGACACUAAGACGGUGGCGCGUAAAGCUUUCCACGGCUUUCCGGUAUCCCUCGUCCUCCGGCACAGCCUUGAUCUCCUCUAGAGUUUUCCUGUAAAGAUUAAUCAGAACUUCCCUCGCAUUUGGCACAACAUCAAGACCUACGAUCCCCGUCGUCUCCUUCACUUUCGCCAUCAUCACCAAUGGCCUCGCUAUUCUUCGGAGAAACAUUUUUCCGACUCGUCGGUCGACUGUAACUCUGAGACCCGCUCGGAGCUCUGAAGAAGGGAAAUCCUCAACCUUCAGCUGAU